rnacentral:rRNA from 1 species
UCUGGCUCAGGAUGAACGCUAGCGGCGCGCUUAACGCACGCAAGUCGAGCGAUGAGGCUCCCUUCGGGGGGUACAUCAGCGGCAGACGGGUGAGUAACACGUAGGUAACCUGCCCUCAAGACGGGGAUAACGCCUGGAAACGGGCGCUAAUACCGGAUGACCUUGGUCGGGGAAGCUCCGGCUAAGGAAAGGCUUUGGCGCUUGAGGAGGGGCCUGCGGCCCAUCAGUUAGUUGGUAGGGUAACGGCCUACCAAGGCGAAGACGGGUAGGAGGUGUGAGAGCACGGCCCCCCACACUGGGACUGAGACACGGCCCAGACUCCUACGGGAGGCAGCAGCGGGGAAUAUUGCGCAAUGGACGAAAGUCAGACGCAGCGACGCCGCGUGGGUGAAGAAGGCCUUCGGGUUGUAAAGCCCUUUUCUGUGGGAAGAGGAAGGACGGUACCAUAGGAAUAAGCGUCGGCUAACUACGUGCCAGCAGCCGCGGUAAGACGUAGGACGCGAGCGUUAUCCGGAUUUACUGGGCGUAAAGCGUGUGUAGGCGGCGUGACAAGUUGGGCGUGAAAGCCCCGUGCUCAACGCGGGGAGGCCGCACAAUACUGUCAGGCUAGAGGGCAUCAGAGGGGUGUGGAAUUCCCGGAGUAGCGGUAAAAUGCGCAGAUAUCGGGAGGAACACCGGUGGCGAAAGCGGCACCCUGGGGUGCACCUGACGCUGAGAGACGACAGCUAGGGGAGCGAACAGGAUUAGAGACCCUGGUAGUCCUAGCCGUAAACGAUGGAUGCUAGGUGUGGGAGUGAAGAACUUCUGUGCCGCAGCGAACGCGAUAAGCAUCCCGCCUGGGGAGUACGGCCGCAAGGUCUAAACUCAAACGAAUUGACCGGGACCCGCACAAGCAGCGGAAGCGUGUGGUUUAAUUCGAUGCUACACGAAG